rnacentral:tRNA from 1 species
UCAUUGUUGCCGGUAAUGGCAUGUAGAAUAGGACUCUAUCUUUAUUCUCGUCCGAUUAAUUAGUUAUACA